UAGCUAGUUGGUGGGGUAAAGGCCUACCAAGGCGACGAUCUGUAGCUGGUCUGAGAGGAUGAUCAGCCACACCGGGACUGAGACACGGCCCGGACUCUUACGGGAGGCAGCAGUGGGGAAUAUUGGACAAUGGGGGGAACCCUGAUCCAGCCAUGCCGCGUGUGUGAAGAAGGCCUUUUGGUUGUAAAGCACUUUAAGCAGUGAAGAAGAAGUUAUGGUUAAUACCCAUAAUGGAUGACAUUAGCUGCAGAAUAAGCACCGGCUAACUCUGUGCCAGCAGCCGCGGUAAUACAGAGGGUGCGAGCGUUAAUCGGAAUUACUGGGCGUAAAGCGAGCGUAGGUGGCUUAAUAAGUCAGAUGUGAAAUCCCCGGGCUUAACCUGGGAACUGCAUCUGAAACUGUUCGGCUAGAGUAGGUGAGAGGGAAGUAGAAUUCCAGGUGUAGCGGUGAAAUGCGUAGAGAUCUGGAGGAAUACCGAUGGCGAAGGCAGCUUCCAGGCAUCAUACUGACACUGAGGUUC
rnacentral:rRNA from 1 species